AGUGAACGCUGGCGGUAGGCCUAACACAUGCAAGUCGAACGGCAGCACAGUAAGAGCUUGCUCUUACGGGUGGCGAGUGGCGGACGGGUGAGGAAUACAUCGGAAUCUACUCUUUCGUGGGGGAUAACGUAGGGAAACUUACGCUAAUACCGCAUACGACCUACGGGUGAAAGCAGGGGAUCUUCGGACCUUGCGCGAUUGAAUGAGCCGAUGUCGGAUUAGCUAGUUGGCGGGGUAAAGGCCCACCAAGGCGACGAUCCGUAGCUGGUCUGAGAGGAUGGUCAGCCACACUGGAACUGAGACACGGUCCAGACUCCUACGGGAGGCAGCAGUGGGGAAUAUUGGACAAUGGGCGCAAGCCUGAUCCAGCCAUACCGCGUGGGUGAAGAAGGCCUUCGGGUUGUAAAGCCCUUUUGUUGGGAAAGAAAAGCAGCAGGUUAAUACCCCGCUGUUCUGACGGUACCCAAAGAAUAAGCACCGGCUAACUUCGUG
rnacentral:rRNA from 1 species